rnacentral:pre_miRNA from 1 species
CGACCGGCUCACUCUAAGUAUGAACGCCAAGCGUAUUGCAUAAAGCUUGGUGUUCUACCUUACAGUGAACUGUACG